ensembl:lncRNA
CCUGUUAUUGUUAUUUUAGAGUGGUACAAUAAGGGAUCACACACAGCAACAUAGCGGUCAAUAGAUAUCAAGACCAAAUUGCCAAGCGAUAAAGUAGUACAUAAAAAAGUAAUGUAGAAAUGAAACACACAGAAAUAUUCUCCAAAACCCCAGCAUGGUUCCAUUAUUGCUACAGUCAUUACUGGUAUCACAAUCAGUCCCACCAGGAGAUCUGACGCAGCCAGAGAGAGAAUGAGCAGGUUGGUUGUAGUGUGGAGCUGCUUGAAGUGAGAGAUGGAGAUGAUCACCAGUAGGUUCAACAAUACUGUAACUGCUGAAAUCAAUGAGAAGAAGAUGUACAGUGUUAUGUAGAUAGAUGUCGAUAGAAAAGCCUUUCUGCAAGAAGAGUUUCUGUCUUGAAAACAGUAUUGAACAUCUUCAUGUGUCUCCAUUUGUAAUAAAA